rnacentral:lncRNA from 1 species
CUUUCAUUAUCUUAAACACUGGAUGAUUGCAAUGCACAUGAUGAAGGAGCACAAAGUCCGUACUUCGAUUGGGUUUUAAUUAUGGCUUUUCAGAGAGGUUUGAUCGAUCUAGUUUUAACUUUUCUUUGUUUCUUGAUGAUCACACAUGACAUGAGCCCCCUUGGUUUUGGACGUUAUUUAAACAAAUUAAGAAAUCAAAUAAAUAAAUAUAGAAUCUCUUUGUGCUUGUGUGAAAACAGGUUACAUGUACCUCAGUUAUAGUGCAUCCACUUACGAAUAGCAUAUUUGGGUGCAUUAACGCUAUUCGAUAUGUAAAUUUAGACAAUGAGUCAAGAAUUUAUCACCUAUAUUAUAAGUUCUCUAACUUUUUUCUGUGAAACCCAUUCUUUUUACAUGAAAUCCUAAUUCCGUCACUAAAUGCAUAUAAAUGUAUAGAAGGGUAUAGAAAGUUUCGUAUGAAGUGGAUAUAUCAGCUCUCAAUAAAAUGGAAAUACGAUAUAGAAUUAGUUUCUCUAAGCGAGAAUGCAUAUGCAUGCAUGCAACGCAAACACUAAUAAUUGAUGCAGAAAAAAUAUGGCCCAGAAGAGGUGCAUCUCCAAGCACUGCAGAAGGAGAUGAAAGAGAUCAUGUGGGGAGGGGUCAGGUCUUUCUCAAAUUUUCUUCAAAUUGAGGCAGCAGAUAGAAUGGAUAUAUCGUCUGUUGCAUGCAGGCUUGCAUGGAAUAAAGAAACCAAGUGAGCUGAACGGGGUCUCUCACAAACUGCGAACAAAAUAACAAAAUCUGGUGUCUCUGACUCACUCAAUUUUGCAUGUAAUAUAUGCAUAUCUCAAUUCCAUGAAUGUGUGAUUCUUCAGAAAUAAAGCUACCAGAUCCCAAUGGGGCUCUCCAAUCAUAUAUAUUGUUG